rnacentral:rRNA from 1 species
CAGCCAUGCCGCGUGAGUGAAGAAGGCCUUCGGGUUGUAAAGCUCUUUUACUCCGGAUGAUAAUGACAGUAGCGGGAGAAAAGCCCCGGCUAACUUCGUGCCAGCAGCCGCGGAAAUACGAAGGGGGCGAGCGUUGUUCGGAAUUACUGGGCGUAAAGCGUACGUAGGCGGCUAAGCAAGUUAGAAGUGAAAGCCCAGGGCUCAACCUUGGAAUUGCUUUUAAAACUGCUUGGGUAGAAUCUCGGAGAGGAUAGCGGAAUUUCCAGUGUAGAGGUGAAAUUCGUAGAUAUUGGGAAGAACACCAGUGGCGAAGGCGGCUAUCUGGACGAGUAUUGACGCUGAGGUACGAAAGGGUGGGGAGCAAACAGGAUUAGAUACCCUGGUAGUCCACGCCGUAAACGAUGAUGUGUAUGUGUCGGGAUUGUUGGCCUUUCGGUGAAAAAGCUAACGCGAUAAGACAUCCGCCUGG